rnacentral:rRNA from 1 species
AGAGUUUGAUCAUGGCUCAGAACGAACGCUGGCGGCAGGCUUAACACAUGCAAGUCGAACGCGUGUAGCAAUACACGAGUGGCGCACGGGUGAGUAACGCGUGGAUAUCUGCCUUUGGUUCGGAAUAACCCGGGAAACUGGGGCUAAUACCGGAUGGUUCCUUCGGGAUAAAGAUUUAUCGCCAAAAGAUGAGUCCGCGUACGAUUAGCUAGUUGGUGAGGGUAAUGGGCCCACCAAGGCGACGAUCGUUAGCUGGUCUGAGAGGACGAUCAGCCACACUGGGACUGAGACACGGCCCAGACUCCUACGGGAGGCAGCAGUGGGGAAUAUUGGACAAUGGGGGCAACCCUGAUCCAGCCAUGCCGCGUGAGUGAUGAAGGCCUUCGGGUUGUAAAGCUCUUUUGGCGGGGACGAUGAUGACGGUACCCGCAGAAUAAGCCCCGGCUAACUUCGUG